UAGGGAAUAUUGCACAAUGGGCGAAAGCCUGAUGCAGCAACGCCGCGUGCGCGAAGAAGGUCUUCGGAUCGUAAAGCGCUUUUCUGGGAGAUGAGAAAGGACAGUAUCCCAGGAAUAAGUCUCGGCUAACUACGUGCCAGCAGCCGCGGUAAAACGUAGGAGGCGAGCGUUAUCCGGAUUCACUGGGCGUAAAGCGCGUGCAGGCGGUUUGGUAAGUUGGGCGUGAAAGCUCCCGGCUCAACUGGGAGAGGUCGUCCAAAACUACCAGACUAGAGAGCGAUAGAGGAAAAUGGAAUUCCCGGUGUAGUGGUGAAAUGCGUAGAUAUCGGGAGGAACACCAGUGGCGAAGGCGAUUUUCUGGAUCGUUUCUGACGCUCAGACGCGAAAGCUAGGGUAGCAAACGGGAUUAGAGACCCCGGUAGUCCUAGCUGUAAACGAUGUGAACUUGGCGUUGGUGGCUUAAACACCAUCAGUGCCGUAGCUAACGCGAUAAGUUCACCG
rnacentral:rRNA from 1 species